GCACUGCUGACGAAUGCCAAACAGGACGAAACAGCUGUCCAUUGC
rnacentral:hammerhead_ribozyme from 1 species